GAGGGUAUAGCUCAGUAGUAGAGUGUGUGCUUGGCAUGCAGAAGGUCCUAGGUUCAAUCUCCAGUACCUCCA
rnacentral:tRNA from 1 species